rnacentral:lncRNA from 1 species
GGCAACUAACAAUUCUUUCUCUAUAAUUAGAUCUAGGUUUGACUUAAGUAUUGGUUGAGGUUCUAAGGGACCUAGAUCUAUAUACUUGAGGUGCUGAGGGAGUGUUUCUGGAUCCCUUAUUAUUGCCUCUUCUUUUUUAGGCAAAGGUUUAACCAGUAUCAUGAGAAGUUCAACUAGUAAUUCUGAUCUUGGUUAAGUAUAAUGGUCACUAGGU